GGAUACAAAAGCCAGGCAUUCUUACUUACUUUAAGUGAAUUGGCACAGUGGCACUUCUAGAAACAGAACCGAAGUCUCACAUGACACAGAGGUUGUUCAAUGCACGAAACAUGGUAACCAUAAUGUCUAAAUCAAAGGAAUAUAAAAUUUAUGUUCUUCUAGAGGGGAAGAAGAGGCUGGGGAAGAAUACAACAAGCAGCAUUUAUUUGGAGUUGAAAACAAAAAGAGGAGAAAGCAGAUGCAUUAACAAUAGCCAGCAGGCAAUAAUAGAUCCAUGCUAACAAACUCGAAAAAUUAAAAUAUGUACACAUACAAAAACCUAAACAAGAAAUUCAUCCUUACCAGCAGGAUGACAGACCCCAAAAGUUACGGGAGUUUGACCCUAUGUGAGGCUGCCGAGGCUAAGGCCAGUUAUGAGUCAGUCCCAUCCCAUCCUUGAGUACAAGGUCACACAACCACACAGCCCUCGAUUCCUUUUGAACAUUCCCCAACCAUGUAAAGCCAUCAUUUUGCAAUAUUACAUACCAAAUGCUCUGUUAUACAGAUCACCAGAACUGGGCAUCCCAAAUGCCUGAGGUUUAUAUGCAUUUCUCAACAAAGAGACGUAUCAUACAAAUGAUUCCUUGAGAAACAGGUAAUGAAAUUAGCACUUAAACGCAGAUGCAUUAGAAAAAUUCAGCUUAAAAUGUAUUGUAUAUAACCAACCAGCCAGAGAGUCAAACUCCUGAUCCAUUCUCUCAUGAAGGUAAAGCCUGGUGGUGGUGCCCUGCUUGGCACAGAGAAUCCAGGAGGAGAACAAAUUUGAGCCCUUGAAACUGCCGAAAGCUUUUACUAAUGGCUAGAAACCAAACAAGGUAUGAAAAAACAACCCCCAGGGCGGCAAAGGAAAGAAGCGAAAACCCAUUAAGAAAACUGAUACUACUAAUAAUCACUAUGAGAUCACAAUAAACAAGAACUUUAAGCACAUAAUUGAAAAUUAAUUACGGUCAUGAACCUAUUAGAUAAUUCAAACUACAGGAAACAAAAAUAAAAAAGAUCAACACCAACCAUAAAAUCAUUUCCAUCAUUAAACAAUUUCUCACCAAUGUCUAACAAAUAGAAUGAUCUGGCAACUAUAUCCAACAAUACAACAUACAAUAAAUAAGCAGCCCAUAUAACACCCCCCCCCCCCCCCCCAAAAAAAAAAAACACUUUCACGCAGACGAAUAGCAGAAGGGUCUCAGGAGUAGAGGUGUCAAACGGGCCGUGCCGGGCCGGCCCAACCCAUUUAAACUCGUGCCUUUAAUGUAUUCGUGCCGUGCCGUGCCGGUCCAUUUAAUUUAUCGGGCCGUGCCGUGCUGGCCCAUUUAGUAAAAUCAUUGAUCCCAGCCCGGCCCAAAGCCCAAGUCCAUAUUGAAACGGGCCGUACCGUGCUUGGGCCGUGCCCGUGCUCGUGCUCGGGCCAUACUCGGGCCUAAGAACAAGCCCAUUUAAUUUGAAUUUUUUUUACUUGAUUUUUUUUUCCCACUAGAUAAUUAAAAUUAUAAACAUAAAACAUAUAACUAGAAGCAAGGAAUGAUGAACCAUUUGAAAACAUUAAUAAUCAAACAUCCAAACAAUAUGAAAAAGGUGGAGGGCAAAAAUGUGGCCUCGUUAAAACCUUGCCUUAAAAAACCCCCAAAGGAGGAAAAUCCGGUCAAGGAAAAAGAGUACCACUACCCUCCCAAAUUACACAAAAAGGAAAAUAAAAUUAAUCUAGGACACCGGGUAAAAUAUCAACAUUUGUCAUCUCACGUUCCUGCAUCAGUCAACCGAAAAAAAAUUUAAUUAUUUUCUGGAGUAAAAUAAGAUACUUAGAGCAUCAUAAAUCUUCAAAAAGACAUGCAGUCUGAUCAUCAACAUACAAACCUGUAAUUAAAGGUGGAUCUGGCCCUCGUGUACUAUGCAAUAUAGCAGUCCCAGAUAACACAGUGAUGAACCCUCAAAGUUUUGACGCUAUGCUGGUCACGCUUUGACCAGAAUAAUCCUACCAAAAGAUUACAUACAUUAGAUUUAUAACAAAGACUCACACACAAACACAACAUGUUCACGUUGCCUCCAACACAGGUUUUGGGUUUUUAUGAUGCUAUAUGGAUCUUCCAACACAGAUUUGGGGUUUUUAUAAUUGGGGGUAUUUUCUAAAGAUUUAUGAUAUAUUGGAAGACGAAGAGGAGAUGCAGAAAUCGAGAGGAAGAGGAGGAGACGCUGCUUUGUUUUCAUUGCUUCUUCACGAAUCACGCACGGCUCCUAGAGUCUAGACGCUUUGAGUUUGAGUCAAACUCCAACUCUCCAACUCCAAAUCUAUUUGUUAUGUCAUCAAGGCUGGGUGGUUGUUUGUCAAGUGUUUUUAUUAAGUCACUUAAGUAUGCCGGUAAGUAAUUGGUCAUUGCAUCAAUUUUUUAUAUUUUUUAUUUUAUUUUAUUUACUUGCUGUUCCAAGUUCCAACUUGAUAGUGAAAAAAUGCAGUAGAUGAUUUAAGUGGGCUCGGGCUCGUGUCGUGCUUGGAGCGGGCUCGGGCUCGUGCCGUGCUUGGAGCGGGCUCGGGCUAAGCCCGUCUCAUGUCGGGCCACGGGCCGGCCCGGUCCAUUGGACUUUUUUUUAAAUCCCAGCCCGGUCCAAGCUUUCGUGCCGUGCCGAGCACGGCCCAUUAAUAUUCGUGCUCGUGCCCUGCCGUGCCUCAUUUAAAUGGGCUGGACUCGUGCCGUGCUGGGCCGGCCCAACCCGUUUGACACCUCUACUCAGGAGUAUGGUUAUGUGACAUUGGAGAGCAGAUGAUGCAAGGAAUCAAUUUUUUUUUUUUUAAAUCUUGAGUGCGUGCAACAAAAUGUGGGGCACUGAAAAAAAUGCAUGCCGCUAAACAUCAAGAAAGAACAUAAACAAAUUCCUGUUAUGACCAAUGGAAGGCAGCAAAUAUAACAAAGAUAGGUAUCAGCAGAAGAAGAAAAGAGUAACAUAAAGCCAGACAGUACUCACAGAAAAGCUAGUGAGAAGAAAAAGCUAAAUGAUUGCUGCCAUGAUUUCAGGGUCUUCAAAAGAGCUAGACGAGAAAACGUUUCCAAUUCCAAGAUUCUCCAAACCUAAAUCUCUAUUUCGGUUAUUAGAAAACUGCCCAACGACAUUCAGAUAUGACUCUACAUCGAAUGCCUGAUUUUUAGAAUCCUCCUGUCUUGCAAAAGAGGAUCCGGACUGAUUGUUAUUUUGUACUUUCCAAGGACUUGACAUUUUGAGAGCUACAGCCAGGCAGUCUAUCAGUUUCACCGAAUAAUUUCAAAAAAUGCUGUGGUGACGCUAUUGAGUCAUCCCAAGUGUCAAAGUCCAUUGGUAAAUAUUUUUGGAUUAUGCUACUCUCUCACUUGUCAACAGCAGCACUGAAAUCAGCAUUAGCUGCAUCAUCCAGGAAUCUUCCACUGUGCUUCCCUGGGACUUCAUUUGGAAGCAGAAGGGAAUGCUCCAACGGCCUCUCUGAACCAGAAGAUCUGCUUACCAAGUUCUCAGGGUAACCAUUAGAUGUUACUGAAACACUGGAAGAAGAUAGAAGUGAACUGUCCCUCAUUUUGUUAUCAACAAAUAGACGAUCAGCAUUUGAAUAACUUUCCUUUCUCUUGAUAAAGGUACAAAAGUGUCCCCUGAUCCGGACCCAUAUAUAUAUAACACCUUCAUGGUUGUCAAAGGUGUAGCAAUUUCAAAUUUCAUUGUCCACAGAUGCAUAUUAAUUUCACAAUGAUUUUUUUUAUCAAUGCCAAAAAAGCAGGUUCGAAUUUAUCUUUGGACAAUAAAUUAACUAUCAACUCCAUUGUUGAUGCAUCUGCAGAGAAACCCUUCUCCACCAUUUGUUGAAUAAGUACCAUCUGCUUCUGCUUCUAAAGAUCAUGCUACAUUAGUCUACGAGUAUGCUUUUGUUUGAUGUGCUGUAAGUUUUGCUUUGGCCCGUGGAUGUCUUCUGUAAUUUCCUUCUCUUAUUCACUAACAGAUAGCAUGGGGAUUAUUCAUAAUUUAAAUUCACAUGUUAAUUUCUCAUUCUAAUCAUUAACGCUCACGUUAGUAAGUUACCAGAAACCUUCAUAUGAUAUACACGCGGUGAGGGGAAUUAUAGUUUUUCUAGGAGAGAAGUUAGAGAAAAAGUAAUGUGUUAUAACUUAUAACUAAAAUCAUACAAGAACCCUUAAAUCCCUAAUAAAAUGGAAACGCAAUGCUGCAUGGGUUACCCUGCAAUUACGCCUCUGCAUCAGUGGACAGAGGUUUCUAUGGGAUCUUUUUUUCAAACAGAGCUUCUCAUAAUAAAUAGUAAAAUACAACGGAAAUUCCAUUAAAAAGAAUUAAUACCAGAAAUUCCGGAUGCAAGUGAGAAGGCAUAUUCACCUCGUGCCAUACACACAACCACUGUAAUAUCUUCAUGGUCGUCAAAGGUGCAGCAGUUUCAAAUUUCAUUGUCCAUAUAUGCUUAUUGCUUUCAGAAAGAUUACUUUAUUAACGGCAACAACGCAGGAUCCACUUCAUCUUUCGACAGUAAAUGAACUAUCAACUCCGUUGUUGAUGCAUCUCCAGAGAAACCCUUCUCCACCAUUUGUUAAAUAAGUACCAUCGCCCUUGAUGUCUCUUUGUUCCUGAUAAGCCCUCUGAUAAUUGUGUUAUAUGUGCAACCAUCUGGAUAACAGCCUUUCCCUUCCAUUUCAACCAGCAAAUUUUCCGCUUCACUUGUUAGGCCUCCGAUACAGAGUCCAUUAAUCAUUAUAGUGUAUGUCCUCACAUUAGGUCGAAGUCCUUUUGGUGAUAAACCACAAAAGAGAUCCCUAGCAGAUUCAAUUUUUCCAGUUAUAAACAAACCUUCAAGAAGAAUAUUGUAAAUCACAAUAUCAAUAUCCAACUUCUUCGCUUCCAUCUCACAAAACAAUUGCAUUGCCCUAGAAAGUUGUCGGUUUUUACACAGGCCAUCCAGUAAAAUAGAAUAAGUUUGAGCAUCAGGAAGUUGGCCACAAGCUUGCAUCUUAGAGAACAACUUUUGUGCGUCCUGUAUUCUGCCUGUUUUGCAAAAGCCGUCCAGAAGAGUGUUAUAAGUAAUGGUAUUUGGAACCAGUCCCUUAUGAGACAUAUCCAGAAAAAGCAUCAUGGCCUCAUCUAUUUUUCUAUGCUUACAAUAUCCAUUUAUCAAUGUGCUGUAACUAACAACAUUAACCAUGGAGCCCUUGCUAAGCAUUAGUUCAAUACCUCUUUGAAUCAUCAUUUCAACCACACCUUCUGCCUCCACGACCAUCCCCUCCUUACAAAUUGUGUCUACCAAGAUGCUGAAUGUGAACACAUCUGGAAAGAUGUUUUUACUCACCAUGUCAUUCAACAACCUUGUAGCUUCUUUCCACUCGCCUAAUUUGCAAAUUCCAUGAAUCAAGGAUGUAUAGGUAAUGGCAUUUGGGGCAAUACCCUUGCUUAUCAUUUCUGAGAAGAGGUUAAAUGCAUCAUCCACUAGUGUAUCCUUACAAAGACUGUCGAUGAUUGUGCUAUAGACAACUAGGUCAGGCUUGCAAGCUCCUUCCUCCAUCUUCCUAAGCAACUGAAUAGCAGCACUAUUGUUACCUUUCAUGCAAAAGGCCUUUACUAGUGUGCCAUAAGUAAUCACAUCAGGCUGACAAUUACCUCCCGCAAUCAUUUUGUUGAAAAUUCCUGCCGCCUCCGCCAUUCUAUUCUUGAGAAGAAAGCCGUUGAUUAGAGUGGUGAAGGUAAAGACAUCUGGUUCAAGACCAAGUUUGAAGAAUUUUCCCAAUACAGAUAAACUAAACCCCAUUUGGUUUAGAUGACAAUAACAAUUUAUGAGAAUGUUUAGAGUAUAAACAUCAUGUCCAAUUCCCGACACAUCACUGGAUCUCAAAAAUUUAAACUGCUACAAAAAUAGUUAAUAACGAUAAGGCAUACGAGAGAAGGAAAUAUCAAAGCGCACAAAAAGCAAUUGCUUCUUCAUAAUUCACAGCUUCAUGUUGGAUUCACCAAGCACCAUCAGAACUUCUUUUCAUGAUUUGUUGGGGAGGCAUAGUAGGAUCCAAAGUUGUCAUUUAAAUUAAAUACUUCCACAAGAAAUGAAAAAGAAUGCAUCUACAAAUCAAAUGGAAAUGGGAAAUUGAUGAAUACCGAUUCGAUAUUGUAUACGUGAUAGAGGUGAAUCUACACUAUUGACUAUAAAUCAGGACAUCAACCUUUGAUUACUGUAUACACGUUUUCUUUUUGUAAUUCCAAAGUCUUUAUUCUCUCCUGAUUUCCUGUAAUUGUUUUCUCCAAGGCCUUUUAUUCUUUCUUGUAACUAUGUACUCUUGCUGUGCUGCAAGCCAUAAUGGCUGCUCUCUCUUCCCUAAAUCAAUGAAAGAAUUAUCUUUUCCUAAAGUAUUAGACCUAAAAGGGUUUUUCUCUAAAAUGCAUAGAUGUGAUGGGUUAUUUUAAUUUAUUGUUGAUUCAAUAAAUGUUAUGGCUUAUAUUUGAAAAGCUCUAGUUAUAAAUAUAUAAUAUAUUUAGUUAGCAACAAGGUCAACAAGUUUAAAAAAAAAACAUUGACUUGCAUCUCAAAUCCUCAUUCCUUUAGGCCUUCUCCAACCCAUGAGGGGCUAAACCCAAAUUUUCCCCCUUCAAAAAGUAACUAUUUGGAUUUUGCUCGGACUCAAAUCGUUUUUUCUCCUAACCCUCCAGACUCAAAUUUUAAGUGCGCAACUUUAUUAAAUUAUUUAAGAAUGGUUUAAGUCUAAUUUUUUUUUUUUGGUGGAAAACUUUUCUUCAUUAAUCUUUUUAAAUAACGUCAUAAUUUAAUUUUUUGAACAAUUUGACCUUAAAAAAAUUGAAAUUCUAUAAAUUUAAUUUUAUUCCAAAAGUAUGAGAAUUAAGAAGAUAAUGUGCUUGAAAUGAUAUCAAAAGUAUGAGAAUGGAAGAGAUUGAUGAAAUUGACAAAGGAAAAAUAAAUUGAGAAAUAGAAAAAAUAUUUUUGGUAGACUAAUUGAGAAAUGGGUGAGUAUUUAUAGAGUUUGGAGUGAGAUUUGGAAUUGGAUCUUAUUUGGAUUAACUUAAAAUAUUAUUUUGACUGUUGGAUUUAAAUUUCAGUCGUUGGAUCUUUUUUUUUACCGUUAAAAUAGCAUAGAUUUAAUCCACAUCGUUGAUUUAAAUUAUAUAUACAUACAAAAAAAAAAAAACAAGCAGCAACAUUUGAAACCGUUGGAUUCCAAUGGCAACUCCAUGAAUAGUGUUGGGUCCAGGCAAUACUUGGACCCAUAUUUGGGUCCAAAUUUGGGUUUUCCCAAAUUUUGGAUCCUUCAUUUUCUUGGGUUGGGAGAGGUCUCCAACUCAAGGACCUAAACUCAAAUUUCUCCUCUUCAAAAUACAACUAUUCAUGUAUUGUCCGAACUCAAAUAGUUUUUUCCUCCAACCAUGCAGACUCAUAAUUUGAGUCCUCAACUUUAUUAAGUUGUUUAAAAAAGGUUAACCCUUUUUUUUUUCUCGUUAAUUUUUCUUGACAUUAUUUUUGUUUCAACCUUAGUGAAUUAAUUUUCUGAAGAUUUUAACCUAAAAAAAAUCCAAAAUCCAAAAUAUAAUAUAAUUUCACUUUUGAAAAAAUAUACAACAACAUUUUAUUUCAUAGACUUAAUGAAGAUUUAUAGUUUGGAAUGUGUUUUGGGGUUAGAUCUGAUUUAUAAUAUUUUAAUUUUAGCUGUGGGAUCAUUUAUUUUUUUUGUUGAUCAAGUCACUUUUUAAUCACAGCCGUUGGUUUAAACUAGCCAUUACAUUUGAAAUAAAUAAAAGCAUCAAUUUGGAUGUUUGAAUUGUAGCCAUUAGAUGGCAACGACUACAAGCCCAUCUUGCGCCACGCGUAAACAACUUUCCCUUCAAGUAGCCGACAUGGCUGGCCCACCUCCUCAGUUUCUCUUGCUUUCCUUCAUGUGCUACAAGUUGCCUUCAAUUUGGGGCCCACAAAUUUCUGCCCGGACUGGAAAGGUGGCCAAAUACCCCCCAAAAAACCAAUUUGCCCAAUAUUUCAUGUCAGCUCCGUCGUAGCACGAUAUUGUCCUUUUUGGGCCCCCCUCUCUGCCCUCACGGUUUUGUUUCUGGGAACUCACGAGCAACUUCCCAGUGAGUCACCAAUCUUGGGAUUGCUCUAGGCCCAACUCGCUUAACUUCAGAGUUCCUAUGACUCCGAAGCAAAUGAGCUCCCCAACGGCCUCGUACUAAAUGGAAUCGGGCAUGUACAUAUAAGACACAUCACCCCCUCUCCGUUGGUCAAUGUGGGAUGCUACAAUCCACCCCCGUUAGGGACAUGACGUCCUCGUCGGCACACUCGCACCACACAUCAGAGUGGCUCUAAUGUCAAAUUGUCACAUCCCGAGAUCGGCUCCGUCGUAGCACGAUAUUGUCUGCUUUGAGCCCCCCUCUCUGUCCUCACGGUUUUGUUUCUGGGAACUCACCAGCAACUUCCCACUGGGUCACCCAUCUUGGGAUUGCUCUAGCCACAACUUACUUAACUUUGGAGUUCCUAUGACUCCGAAGCUAGUGAGCUCCCAAAAGGCCUUGUACUAGAUGGAGGCGGGCAUGUAUAUAUAAGGCACAUCACCCCCUUUCCGUUGGUAGAUGUGGGAUGUUACAUUCUCCCCCGCUCCCUAUACAUUCGUUGGGGAUAAAAGUGGGCCAAAUUUUGGGAUAUUUUAGGUUUAGCCCCCAUGGGCUUUCUCCAACCUAAAUGGGGCUAAACCCAAAUUUUCCCCUUCCAAAAAGUAAUUAUGUGGAUUUUUCUCGAACUCAAACCGUUUUUUCUCUCAACUCUUCGGACUCAAAUUUUAAGUCUGCAACUUUAUUAUAUUGUUUAAGAAUAGUUUAAGUCUUUUUUUUUUUAUGGAUAACUUUUCUUCAUUUAAUCUUUUUAAAUAACUUCAUAAUUUAAUUUUUUGAACAAUUGGACCUGAAAAGUAUGAGAAUGAAGAAGAUGAUGUGCUUGAAAUGAUAUGAAAAGUAUGAGAAUGAAAGGAGAUUGAUGAAAUUGACAAAGGAAAAAUAAAUUGAGAAAUAUAAAAAAUAUUUUUGGUAGAUUAAUUGAGAAAUGGGUGGGUAUUUAUAGAGUUUGGAGUGAGUUUUGCGGUUGGAUCUGAUUUUGAUUAAUUUAAAAUAUUAUUUUGACCAUUGAAUUUAAAUUUCAGCUAUUGGAUCUUUAUUUUAUUUUAUGUUACCGUUAAAAUAGCUUAAAUUUAAUUUAUAUCGUUGAUUUAAGUUACUAUUAGAAUAUAUAUAUAUAUAUAUAUAUAUAACAAAGUUUGAAUUGUUGCCAUUGGAUUUCAACGGCAACAUGACCACGUCUCGGCACUUGGCACGCUGACUGCGUUAGUCGUCCAACAUCCCAUGCAACACGGGCCCCGAUAGAGGCCACAUUCUGUCUCUCUUGCACAUGGUUGCAUCAGCAGUCAGUGAGCUCCACCAAAUUUUUUUAGGUCCAGGCAAUAGUUGGACUGCUAUUUGGCCCCAAGUUUGGGUUUUUCCAAAUUUUGGCCACUUCAUUUUCUUGGGUUUGGAGAGGUAUUGGGAUAUUUUGGGUUUGGCCUCAUGGGUUGGAGAUGGCCUUAGAGCAUUCCCAAGGGACUAUGCAAAUGAAAUAGACAAAAUUGUACUAUAGCAACCUCCAUUUGGCUUAUGAAAGAAGUUAGUCACUCUAAGGGACUAGACAAUGCAAGUCUACAAAUCAUUAUUUUAUUUUUAUUUUUAUCUUUUAUCAUUAUUAUAUUUUUAUUUUUAUCUUUUACAUUUACUAUUAUAUUUUAUAGAAAGUAUGUGAGAGAGUGGAGUGAUAUUUUAUUAUAAAAAUUAAGUGGAACCCAAUAUACCUCUUUAUUUUGAAGUAGGUAAUAUUGCCUUGUUGGGGAAAGUAUGUAUAUUUUGCCUACAUAUUUGCCUCUUCCCUUGGAGCAUGAAAAUGCUGAUGUGACAAGGCUAAUGAGGUUUACCUACUCUUUUGUCUCUUCACUUGGAGAUGCUCUUAUAGCUUAUACUAUUUUAGGUAUUCAAAAAAUUAUAUUUAUUGAUUUAUUAAUAGUAUAAAAUACUAUUAACAUUUACAGAAAGAAACUUUAAAAUGAAAUGUAGAUAUAAAAAAUGAAGAAAAAAAAAAGAAAAAAAAAUCUCCUAACCCCUCCUCAAUCUCAUCCUCUCCUCCCUCCUACAUAGCCCACCCUUGUGAUGAAACUCAAAAAGAAUUUGUAAUGAAAUGUUACCAUAAAUAUCUAAAUAAAAACAAGACAAGCAUCCAAAUAAAAACAGAACAAGUACAUUUACUUCUAAAUCUUCGACAUUUUUUGUAUAAAUUGACGAGUAGUUAUUAUCUGCAUAGGAGAAAAAAAGAUAUUGUGUAACCAUAAUUCAUAUGUUUAUUUGCUUGAUCUUAAUUAGCAAACAUAAGCAUCAAACUAUCUUUUACUCCCUUACUAACAUUUUGAUGCUUGUACAACAAUCUACCAGCCAGUACACAUUCACAUUGUCAAGCCUCCCUUAGUUUUAUAUCAUCCGGCAACCAUCCUGUAACCAUGCCAUUUCACGUGGAAAGCGAUGCCUUUUGUCAUUGCAACCAUUGCAGUCGCAGUGCCUCGAAGCUGACGCUGGAAAUUAUUGAUAGCACAACUGAAGUUACCCGGGAAAAUGAAAGGCUUCACCAAUGCCAGCUAAAGGAAAUAACCACACAGCCAACAUUGGCACCAUAUAAUGGAAUUAUGGAACUGUAUGCUGUUUUCAGACGCAAUGACUCCCCGCAGUUGCUAAAACGAGGGGUUAUUGUGAGGGGGUUACAAUGAGAAAGGUUUAGGGCAUGGCCAGCUGGGAUGUUGAAAUAUGACACGAUGCGACAGUCCAAAAGGGCCCCACAGCCAACUCCAAGGAUUUCUUUUCCGUCUUUACCUUCCAAACGCCAAUAAUAUAUACUUGUAGAGCGAGACUUCUUGUGACCUCUUUUAAAGGAAAAAAAAAAAAGAAAAGGAAAAACUUUCUUAUACGGGAGAUAGCACUGUUUACUUGGAAAAUAGAAAUGGGAGAAUACCGAAUCAAUAUUAUAUACGAAUUGUCUACUACGCUGCCUACAUACGAAAAGUCUCCAAUUAUAUGCUUGGAAAAUAUGACAGCAUCCAAGCAACUAACAGCUUUGUUUUAACAUCAAGCUGAUAUCUAUUUAUUUAUUUUAUUUCUACAAUAAUGAUCCAACAUAAUCCGAAAGGCACGAAAAUAAAUAACAAAUCCCUCGUAGCACAGCAGCCUCUACAGAUCAAAACCCACAUCAUGCCCUCCUUUACACAAAAACAAUAGCAGACACUGAUAGAUAAACAAUUCUCUUCAAAAUAAUAGCUUCUAGCUUUUUCUUCCUCCUUUCUUUUUUUAGAAAAUACAAAACAUUACCAUCCCACCUAGUUACAGCACACACCCCACACCCCACACUCAAAAAAUAAUUGCACGAAAUACUUUUUAAUUCCAAUCACUUCUCUGUUCUGAACUUUGCAAACACAAUACAAAUAGAAACUUAGAAGGAAAAAAAAGUUGUAAACUCAUUAAUAUCCAUUUUGUCAUGUUAAACAGUUAGCGCAGUAUAAAACUCCCCAAAAGGGUCAGAUUUCAUCCAUUUAGUUGUGAGAGCAACAAUCAAAUAUCCGUACAGCAGGGAGUUGAAUACUCAUCAUCUGGAUGAUCAGCCGGUCCGAAUUGACCAUAUACAGCAACCCGCAAUACAAGCUUCACACCAAGCAUUUAUCACCCCCACCUGCAAAUGCAAACAAAGUAGAAGCCCAACUAAAUACAAGAAAAUGCACAUACCAGUAAUUCACUCCAGCUUAAAUCUAGCAAAGGGAAAAAAGGUGCGGGGACCCAAGAGGCAGGCAUUCUUACUAUCCUUCUUUUAAGUGAAUUGGCAUAGUGGCACUUGUAGAAACAGAACCGAACACUCGCAUGACACAGGUUUGUUCAAUGCACAACAUGCUAACCAUAAUGUCUAAAUCAAAGGAAUAUACAAAUUAUGUGCCUUUACGAGGGAGAGAAGAGGCUGGGAAGAAGAAAAGCAGCAUUUAGUGGGAAGUGAAAACAAAAAGAGGAGAAAGCAGAUGCACUACAUGAUGCAACAAUAACCCUGCAAGCAAUAAUAGAUCCACGCUUCUCUUUAUGGCCAUGCUAACAAACUAGAAAAAUUAAAAUAUGUCCACAUACAAAAACCUAAACAAGUAAUUCAUCCUUACCUGCAGGAUUACAGACCCCAAAAGUUACAGGAGUUUGACCCUACAUAAGGCUGCCGAGGCAAAGACCAGUUAUGAGUCAGUCCCAUCCUUGAGUACAAGGUCACACAACCACACAGCCCUCGAUUCCUUUUGAACAUUCCCCAACCAUGCAAAGCUAUCAUUUUGCAAUAUUACAUCCCAAAUGUUCUGUUAUACAGAUCACCAGAACUGGGCAUCCGAAACUUUGAAUCUUCAUAACCAGAAUAAUA
rnacentral:lncRNA from 1 species